CUGCACGUAGCUCAGCGGUUAGAGCUCCCCACUCUGGAUGGGGCGGUCGAGGGUUCGACUCCCUCCGUGCGUC
rnacentral:tRNA from 1 species